rnacentral:tRNA from 1 species
AAAAUCCGUCGACUUUAGAAGUCGUGAGG